rnacentral:tRNA from 1 species
ACCUGGGUGGCUUAGUCGGUUAAGCGUCCGACUUCAGCUCAGGUAAUGAUCUCACAGUUUGUGGGUUCGAGCCCCAUGUCGGGCU